GAAUGACUGUGCUGAGCGGGCUGGAGACGCGCUGGGGAGGAACAACACGAAAGGAAACGGUUUAAUCCCGCUCUUUCUCGACCAGGAGAUCCACAUUUCCGACCGUCUCAAUGUUUUCGACGAGAACAUGGCUAAAAGCGGACUUUUUCUGUGGAUUUUUCGAUUUUAUCUUUGUAUAUUAUUGUGUGCAAGAUGGCUCCCUGGCUUCAGAUGCUGAAGGGCGCCACACCUGGUGUAUGUGUGGAAACAUCAACUUGUCUCACAUCCUGACAGCUUUAUCUCAGCGGACAUAUUAAAUCUACUUUUUUGAGCCAAGCACAGAUAACUUGAUGCCUGUCCAUGGCUGGAGGUGUUAAAGUGGCAGUCCUCAACUGAAGAAGUUGCUAAAAGUAGGAGGACAUCUUCUAAUGUGAACUACUGCACACUCCAACAUUGGUCAUCGCGGCAGCACUGGUGCAGAUUUGGAGCAUUCAGGAGUUCCUCCAACAAAAUAAAAACAGAAAGCUUUUCCUGAAAACUGGAGAAAUCUGGUUCAUUGUAGACUUGUAUUUUUGGUCCCUGUAUGAAGCACUGGAUCAACCUGAUGUCUGGUCAUACUUGAUAUAAUGUUGCAGUAUUUGCACCAAAUGCCUAUUGAAUGCUGAGUUAGGUCACGGCUGUAUGCCCAACAUUCAUGAAUUGGCACAGUAGCAUUUCAUUAUGCCUUGUAAAUGAGUUUUUGUACAUUAAUUUUCACCUUAAUUCGGUCGUAUUAACAAAAAAUGCACUCUAGUCUGUUUUUCUUAAGCUACUGAGCUUUUGCACACUAAUGUUUAUAAAAUUAUGGUUAAUGUUUCUGUAUCUUCCACCCUAUUGCCUUUGAAUAAUCUGAAAUUCAUGCCAUUUAGGUUUUGUAUAGAUUUACUCAAUUUUUCAUUUAAUCUAAUAUUCCAGAUAAAAGAUGGUAAAUGUGGCUGUAUGCUGGUAAGGGGGAGGAAAUGGGAGUAAAAUGUUGCAAUGAUCAUAAACUGCAUUUUGGUUAAUGGAUUGUGAAGACACAAAACAUUGGUGGAAGCUUGGAGAGAUGAUAACAUCACGUACACGAGGAUAUGCCAAUAAUGCCUGUGAUCUUCAAGCCACCUAGCUUGAAGACCGGACGCAUAAAUACUCAUUUGGAAGUUUAUAACUUCACAUAUUAUGAAAAUUGAAUUUUGUGACCUGUCACCAAAGGAAGUGUAUACACUUGACAAUCGAAAAAAUCAUUUUUUCUUAAUUCUGUGAUGAAUAUUUAUUCUUCAUUUUCCACAGUGUCUUAUGUUGCUUUCCUUUCAUCCUGUUGCUUUUGAUGGGUAAUAAGGACAUCCCAUCUUGACUUUUUAAUGCAGCAAGAAACUCGCAAAAAUAAAUGAUGUGCCGAUUGACUUUGGGGGGGGGGGGAGGGGGGAGACAUUUUUUUUCAUGGGAACCAUAUUCCAAGUUGGUUGAGUUAUUUAUAGAAAAUACUUAAGAGACAUUUAUAAAGUUAGUUGGCCUCGCAUGAUAAGACAUCCUUGAGGGUAGCAGAACUAGUCAAAAACAUGGUUAAAAUGGACAAGCAGGCUGCUUUCUUUAUUAGUUGAAGGAUAGGAUAUAUGAGUGGUGAUAGUGUGUUAAAACUGAAUUGGCUGUAGCUUGGGUACUGCUUAAAGUUCUGGUCACAUUACAGAAAGUAAGAGAAGGUGCAAAGGAAAGUUAUGAAGUUAUUGCCAGACUUGAAAUUGUUAUCUUGUGUCAUGAUAAUUGAAUUGAGUAUAGAUUGAUUGCAAAGCGUAACCAGCACAUUCAACAUUCACAAAAUUGGCAGACCUUGUUAAAAUAAAUAGGGGAGACCCAUUUCCCUUGGCAGAGGAAUGAAAACGGAGGAGAUAUGUAUUUAAAGUAAUUGGUAGAUAGAUUAAAUGGCAAAUUAGCAUUUUUCUUUCGUGAGGAUAAAAUCACAAUCUGAAAUGGGGAAGAGGCAAAAAAACUGCAUUUGAUCAAAAUUUGGAUGUUCUUAAAGGCUACAAAACAUGUUGCCAGAUUAGAUUGGCUUUAUCAACUGGCCCUACUCAUUAAUUUUCUCUUGUAAUUCUGAGGUGUGAAGGCCAAUUUAAGUUAUCCUGUGCAUGUCAAGAGUUGAUCAUUUCAUUUGUGUGCUCAUUUUAAAAUGGUGUAUACUUUGUGUAUGGGUGCAUUGUAACUUUAUUUUUCAUCUCUUUCAGGUUUACGUUUCUAAUGGGAGAUUACAAGUUGAACAUGCAUGUUGUGAAACUCAAAUUAAUUGGACUAAUAAUGUUCUCAAUAAAACAUUCAACCUGAAAAUAAAGUAAAUGUAUCCAAA